AAAUGUUGUUAAAAAUGUGCUCUUCUUUUCUCUUCUUAUUCUUGAGUUAUUUGCCACUCAAUCUUCCAUAACACAGACGUCUUGUGUAUUAAUCCUCUUUUACAGCCACAAUGAACCCUUAAACUCAGAAUCAGCAGGUCCGUCCAGCUGGUCGCCUGAUUCAGCUGUCUCGCCGUACUCCCUUCAUGAGGCCUGUUUCUGCUGAACUCCUGACUUUCACUUCCUCACACAUUGUUGAUCAGAGAGCUCAGACUGACCAGGCCUGACAGCACCGAAUCUGGUUACUUUUACUAAGUUUAUGAUUACAAUAAACUUCUUUUCUUGUUUACACUUGGACUCAGGUGUGGCCAUCGGUGUUGUAUAAAUUAUUAGAAAGUAUGGGUUAGGGUUAGGGUUCUCGCCUACAUAUGUCUUAUGACACCAACAGUAAUAUUUUGUAAGGCAUAAUACAUUAAUUUGGUUAUAGUAUUGUAAGGCAUAAUAUUUUAAUUAUUUUUACUAAGAGUUUUCACAACAUUACUGUGUUAUGAAAGACCUCAUAUAUAAAACCAUUACCUAAAAUUCCAUGUCAAAAAGAAUACAAAGAUUUUAGACCAAUAGCCCUUACUUCAGUAAUUGUGAAAAGACUUGAAAGAUCGAUACUUCUGCACUUAGCUCAGUUUGGUAAAAGAUAAACUUGAUCCUUGGCAGUUUGCCUAUAAGAAAGGUUGCAGAACUGAAGAUGCAGUUGCUACUUUGGUGCGUAUGUCUCAAAACAUUUAGAUCAAUCCAAUUGAAUCCAAUUUAGAUCAAUCCUAUAAGAACCCUGUUUUUAGAUUUUUCAUCAACAGGGUGUGACUAAUCUGCUUGAAUGGUGUGAGAAUAAUGAUCUUGUCAUUAACAUAAGUAAAACAGAAGAAAUUAUAUUUGGGUUGUUAUAGUAAAAUCAGUAAGUAUUUAGGUGUAACGAUUGAUGAUAUGUUAACAUGGCAAGAUCACAUUGAUGCUCUCUGCAAAAGAACAAAGCAGAGAAUCUAUUUCCUUUAAGCAAAAGCAAAAAGAUUCUUCUUUUGUUUUUUACGUCUGCAAUAAUGAGUGUACUGCAAUAUUGCAACUCUAUUUGGUAUAAAAGCCUGUCUGUUAAGCUAAAAACACAGUUGUUUAAUCGAUUAAAAAUCAGCUCAAGGAUUGUUGGCAUGGCUCAACGAGAAGCUAUAUGACUUAUUACAAUAAUUUGUUAAGACUGGAUGGCGGCGACAGUCUGCUAGAUUGUAAACAACUCCAGCUGAAAUACCUACAACAUUCUGUUUUGUUGUUUGUUUUUUUUUCUCUUUCUCUUGUUUUUUUCCCCCUUCCAUACUUCUCUCAUUUCAUUUUUAUUCAUUUAUUUAUUUAUUUUUGUCAAAACCGGAUUAUAAUAUUAUACAACCUGGAUCAUCUUGAAGAAUAUAUCGACGCGCACUACAACACACUCUGCUGCACCAUGAACAGGGACAAACCAGAUCACAACAAAAAAAGUAAAGGUAACCCCACUCCAAACUCCAAGAGACCUCGUCCCGAUUCACCUUUCAGCCCAAGUACAGCACCAUCCACAUCACCCAAACCGCCGUGCUGCACUGAGGUAAGCGACAUUUUGUUGUCAAUCGAAAAUAAACUCACCGGACUUGAUACCAGGAUUGCACUCAUAGAAGUCAUACACAAGGAAUUCCAGGAAUUGCGGUACAGCUUAGAAUUCAGCCAAGAACAGAUAGACACUCUCACUACAAAAUAACUUUUUAAAGGACUCCGUACAAGCACUUACCAUUCAACUCACUUCCGUUGUCGCCGAAAACAAAAUCAUGAAAGAAAACAUUUUGGACUUGCAAUCGCACAACAUGAGGGACAAUUUAGUUUCCACAGGCAUCCCGGAGCAAACUCCAGCCCCCGAAAAAUCAGUAAAGGAUUUCAUGAUAAAACAACUCAAAUUACCGGCGGAAACAGUACAGAGCAUCACCUUUCACCGAGUUCACCGUAUAAGAUCUAAAAA